ACGAUGAAGCCCUUCGGGGUGGAUUAGUGGCGAACGGGUGAGUAACACGUGGGCAAUCUGCCCUUCACUCUGGGACAAGCCCUGGAAACGGGGUCUAAUACCGGAUACCACUCCUGCCUGCAUGGGCGGGGGUUGAAAGCUCCGGCGGUGAAGGAUGAGCCCGCGGCCUAUCAGCUUGUUGGUGGGGUAAUGGCCCACCAAGGCGACGACGGGUAGCCGGCCUGAGAGGGCGACCGGCCACACUGGGACUGAGACACGGCCCAGACUCCUACGGGAGGCAGCAGUGGGGAAUAUUGCACAAUGGGCGAAAGCCUGAUGCAGCGACGCCGCGUGAGGGAUGACGGCCUUCGGGUUGUAAACCUCUUUCAGCAGGGAAGAAGCGAAAGUGACGGUACCUGCAGAAGAAGCGCCGGCUAACUACGUGCCAGCAGCCGCGGUAAUACGUAGGGCGCAAGCGUUGUCCGGAAUUAUUGGGCGUAAAGAGCUCGUAGGCGGCUUGUCACGUCGGAUGUGAAAGCCCGAGGCUUAACCUCGGGUCUGCAUUCGAUACGGGCUAGCUAGAGUGUGGUAGGGGAGAUCGGAAUUCCUGGUGUAGCGGUGAAAUGCGCAGAUAUCAGGAGGAACACCGGUGGCGAAGGCGGAUCUCUGGGCCAUUACUGACGCUGAGGAGCGAAAGCGUGGGGAGCGAACAGGAUUAGAUACCCUGGUAGUCCACGCCGUAAACGUUGGGAACUAGGUGUUGGCGACAUUCCACGUCGUCGGUGCCGCAGCUAACGCAUUAAGUUCCCCGCCUGGGGAGUACGGCCGCAAGGCUAAAACUCAAAUGAUUUGAACGGGGA
rnacentral:rRNA from 1 species